UACGAAGGGGGCUAGCGUUGCUCGGAAUCACUGGGCGUAAAGCGCACGUAGGCGGAUUGCUAAGUCAGGGGUGAAAUCCUGGAGCUCAACUCCAGAACUGCCCUUUGAUACUGGCGAUCUUGAGUCCGGGAGAGGUGAGUGGAACUGCGAGUGUAGAGGUGAAAUUCGUAGAUAUUCGCAAGAACACCAGUGGCGAAGGCGGCUCACUGGCCCGGUACUGACGCUGAGGUGCGAAAGCGUGGGGAGCAAACAGGAU
rnacentral:rRNA from 1 species